rnacentral:rRNA from 2 species
AACUUCUGGUUUGGCGCGCGCGGCCCGUUGCGGCAACGCAGUGUGUGCCGUUGUGCGCCUGCCAUCCUUCUGGCGUUUGGGUGUGCCCUUCACUGGGAUAGCAUCUGGGUGUCAAGAUCUUUUACUUUGAAAAAAUUAGAGUGUUUAAAGCAGGCUUGCGCAAUGAAUACAUUAGCAUGGAAUAAUAAUUUAGGACUUCUGUUCUAUUUUGUUGGUUUCUAGGAUGGAAGUAAUGAUUGAUAGGGAUAGUUGGGGGUGCUAGUAUUCAGCGGCCAGAGGUGAAAUUCUUGGAUUCGCUGAAGACUAACUUAUGCGAAAGCAUU